UACGUAGGUGGCAAGCGUUGUCCGGAUUUACUGGGCGUAAAGGGCGUGCAGGCGGUCCGUUAAGUUCAGGGUGAAGCCCCGGCUCAACUGGGAGGUCACGCGAUACUGAUCGACUCGAAGGCAGGAGAGGGUAGUGGAAUUCCCGGUGUAGUGGUGAAAUGCGUAGAUAUCGGGAGGAACACCAGUGGCGAAGGCGACUACCUGGCCUGUUCUUGACGCUGAGGCGCGAAAGCCAGGGGAGCAAACGGG
rnacentral:rRNA from 1 species